rnacentral:rRNA from 1 species
AGUGAACGCUGGCGGUAGGCCUAACACAUGCAAGUCGAACGGCAGCACAGUAAGAGCUUGCUCUUACGGGUGGCGAGUGGCGGACGGGUGAGGAAUACAUCGGAAUCUACUUUUUCGUGGGGGAUAACGUAGGGAAACUUACGCUAAUACCGCAUACGACCUACGGGUGAAAGCAGGGGAUCUUCGGACCUUGCGCGAUUGAAUGAGCCGAUGUCGGAUUAGCUAGUUGGCGGGGUAAAGGCCCACCAAGGCGACGAUCCGUAGCUGGUCUGAGAGGAUGAUCAGCCACACUGGAACUGAGACACGGUCCAGACUCCUACGGGAGGCAGCAGCGGGGAAUAUUGGACAAUGGGCGCAAGCCUGAUCCAGCCAUACCGCGUGGGUGAAGAAGGCCUUCGGGUUGUAAAGCCCUUUUGUUGGGAAAGAAAAGCAGCAGGUUAAUACCCCGCUGUUCUGACGGUACCCAAAGAAUAAGCAACGGCUAACUUCGUG